rnacentral:rRNA from 1 species
GAUUAACGCUGGCGGCGUGCAUAACACAUGCAAGUCGAACGAUGAAACUUAAAUGAUUUCUUCGGAAUGAACUUAAGUGGAUUAGUGGCGGACGGGUGAGUAACGCGUGAGUAACCUGCCUUACACAAGGGGAUAGCCGUUGGAAACGACGAAUAAUACCCUAUGAAACUAUCACUUCGCAUGAAGCGAUAGUCAAAGUGUUAGCGGUGUAAGAUGGACUUGCGUCUGAUUAGCUAGUUGGUGAGAAAAAAGCCCACCAAGGCAACGAUCAGUAGCCGGCUUGAGAGAGUGUUCCGCAACAUUGGGAGUGAGACAAGGCGCAGACUCCUACGGGAGGCAGCAGGGGUGAAUGUUGCACAAUGGGGGAAACCCGGAUGCAGCGAGGCCGCGUGAUUUAGAAGGCCUUCGGGUUGUAAAAAUCUUUUGUAUAGGAAGAAAAUGACAGUACUAUACGAAUAAGGUCCGGCUAAUUACGUG